rnacentral:lncRNA from 1 species
AGAGAGUGUAUGUGUUUUAAUUUAUAUGGAUGUUGCCUAAUUUCCCUCCUAGAUGAUACAGCAAUCAAGGCUCCCCAGAACCCUUGAACAUAGUGCUAUGAAGUCGGAGCCAUUUGCUGUCCCUUUUACAGAUGAAGACAUUGAGGCUCAGAGAGGGAACCUGAGUGGUGAACAGGUCUCCUCCUGGGCUCCAAGGUGCUGCUGCUGGUUGAUGUCUCUGCUGCCUACGUCCACCGGAAGCAGAAGGCCUGACUGUAAGUGUAGAGGAGGGAGGGUGGGCCAAGGGCUGCUCCAGAAGGUCAGGCCAGCAGGAGCCACGCAGCCUCAGGGUGAGUGGAGUUUGGAGAAGGUGAUGGGGCUUCCUCAGCACCCUCAGAAGUCUCAGUCAGGGAACCCUCUAGGAGAAUCCCAACCCCAGGAAGUGUGUGGGUGCUGCAGGAGGUGGGCUACCGCAAGGGUGUUCAAAGGUGUCCACAGCACCCUAGGGGCCCAUAGGGGAGGUGGGGAGAGGGGGCUGAAUGAGGGCCAACUUUGUGGGUGGUCCCUUGCAGGCCAUCUCUCAAUUAUUUGAUGCUGUACUCCAUGGCGUCUAAGGAAUCCCCACUGUAGAGUACUGUUGAGACGCCUCAAGUGGGCUGCUCUUAGUGCUCUCAGGCUCUCAGCGCCUGAGUGGCAGGUAUGAGGGAAAGAGCGUCAGGACUUGGGAGGAGGGCUGAGCAGGUGAAAUUCUGUCUCAGGGCUCCCUGUCCACCCACAAUAGGCAUCCCAGGAGGAAGACCAGCACUGAGGACAUAGCAGACUCUCAGGAAUCAUUUCUUGAAUGAUGAGCAGAUGACUAAAUGUGGACGUGUUUCCCACAGCUCCUUUCCUCCUCCCCCGCCAUGUGGGACCCUCAGUCUGUGCUGCCUCCUUCCUUCCUUGAAGGGCUCAGCUGGAGAGAAGGAGCUGGCGAGAAGCUUCCCCAGACUCAGCUCCAAAUGCCUAUCCUCCCAGGACAUCUUCC